rnacentral:rRNA from 1 species
UACGGAGGGUGCAAGCGUUAUCCGGAUUCACUGGGUUUAAAGGGUGCGUAGGAGGGCAGGUAAGUCAGUGGUGAAAUCUCCGAGCUUAACUCGGAAACUGCCGUUGAUACUAUCUGUCUUGAAUCCCGUGGAGAUGAGCGGAAUAUGUCAUGUAGCGGUGAAAUGCUUAGAUAUGACAUAGAACACCAAUUGCGUAGGCAGCUCGUUACACGAAGAUUGACUCUGAGGCACGAAAGCGUGGGGAUCAAACAGG